CUGUCUUCCCUGUCAAACAGCUCUGCCCAACUACAAACUCAGGUGAGCGACUGAGCACGUCAUUGUGAACUUGACUGAGCUCUAAUGCUGGGUCUGGUAGGUGGGCAAAUCACACGCUUUUUCAACUUAGAACGAAUGGGUUGUUAUCAGGAUGUAACCCAUUGUUAGUCGAGGAGAAUCUACAGCCAUAUCAAUACCACUAAGAAAUGAAACAAGGAACACAGAGUAUUCAGCAAAAGCAUGUAUUAAACCAUUUAUUGGAAACUGGUUAAAAAUUAAGGCACUCCAAACAUUGUGGUUUCUUGAGGUUAUAAUUUCUGGUUGCUUUCAGAACUGUUCAGAGAAAAGCAUGUGGACUGGGUGGCCUUUCAGACGCCCUGGCGAGGGCUCCAUGUCUCGUGAGAGGUUAAAUACACUGUGCUCACUGUAUUUACCAACCCCUGGCUCUACUGUCAGCUCAGCAACCUACAUUGAGUGAUUUUACAUACAUACUAAUGACUAUGUUAAUACAAAGUUCAUUAAAGUCUAUUACAAAGUUCCUCCGAUGAAUACACAGCAGAAACUAAAAAUUAUUAGGCUGCUUUAAAAUAUUAAGGAAUGUUUCAUAACACUGUAAAUUGCUGCCAAAUGCCCACAUGAGAGAAAUAAGACUACAGACUCUGUUCAAGGUUAGUUUCUCAGUUUUGUAGAAUCGUUAAUUCCCAGCACCGGUCUCCGUGGUUCAAGGCGUGUCAUGCUGUUUUGAUCAUCCAGGUCUGCAUGUGAACGUGAUGUGAUGGGAGAGCAGCAGGAGUGUGAAGACUGAAUGCAUGGCUUCUUUUGUGUGCCUGUUGGCCUACUUUCCCGAAGCUGAAUGUUUUUCUAAUUCAAAGCAAUCUGGCGCUGGGGAGUAUGUUCAGAUUUGAGAGAGGCGGCUCCCACUGUCCCUUCAUUGUCUGCUGCUGUCCCUGCCAUGAGUUCAGUCUAUUACUAAAGCCACAUUUCUUGCUCUGAAAGAAAUGGAGCCAUCCUAUAUGGUGCCACAGGGCACCCAGAGGCCAAUGACCUUGUGAGAACCCACCUCUAAAGGGAAGUCUCAGGACACGCCUGAGCCAAAGGAGUGCGGCUCAGAGCCAGGGUCAUCUUAGAAGCAGGACAAUCACCAUUGUUUCUGUGUAGUGUGUGGAGAUUCCCUCAGCUGGCCCUGGACACCCCACUUCCCAGGGCACAGAGCCCUUCCUCUUCAGGGCUGGCACACAGCCAACGGCAGGAGAGCUCCAAGCACCUCACAACUGGACCGACACCUGUGUCACUGGGGCUAGAACAGCGAGCAGGAGCAUGGGGGUACCCAUCUUCUGCCUUAGGGAGGUUGUUUCAAAACUUCAAUUAUAAUAGAGGCUUUCAUUGGAUAACAAGCUUCAUGGUUUGCUAAAGAUACAAAUUAAAAUGUCAUACAAUGCAUGGUCUGAACAUUGAUAGUGAAAUUUCCUGGUGAAAUCUUUUAGGUGGGGAAAUAAAUCUAGGAUUUUUUUAAAAAAGGUUUUCAAUGAGUUCACUCUUCCAUGUUCUUCAAUGCAACCACAGCCUAGGAAGUAGGGUCACUGACAUUGUGUCCUGGACUCGGAAAGCCACCAGAAUUAACAUUUGGGAGACAGGGCAGAGGGACUCGAGGCCCGCACCUGUGGUUUCAGGGGGAGAUGACAAGGGAUUGGCCGACCCUCUCACGUCACUCACAGAGAUGACUCUCCCGGCUGUGGUGUGGAGCUGUUAGUGGGUGGAUGGGAAGAAGGUCUGAGCCGCUGCAGCAGGAGGAUGGCGUUAGUGUUGUGGCUGUCGGUGUGCAAUCAGCUUACAAACUGAGACGUGGAAUGUGCAUGAUUCCUCCUCAAAUUAACAA